rnacentral:tRNA from 1 species
GGAAUAUUUUCCAUUGGUAAGGUAAAGCGAUUGCUAAUCGCUAGGGUUAAAACCUUUAAACGUUCGAAUCGUUUAUAUUCCG